GUUGUUUUCAGGAGUGGAUAAUUUCACGGGGGCAAUGUAGCAAAAUAUGUUGCCCCACUACCCUAUUUAUAUUCAAGGAAAAGCCCAACCCUCUCCUACAUCUGGGGUUCCUCCUGAUAAUCAACAAAUUCAGGGAGGUGAUAACAAUACAAUGACCCAACAAGACAAGGGAAACUCAUACAUAAAAACAACAAUGUUAGACACACUAUGUUAUUUCCAGUUACAAGCUCGGUAGCAAACACUGCGAAAAAAGUGCAAUCAGUAGUGGGUUCCUUCUUAAGCAGCCAGACAAAUCAUUCUUGCUAAUCUUUCCGUCGCUGUCGGUAUCAAAUAGUUUCAAGAGCUCAUGAGCCUCGUCAGCAUUCAGAUCGGGUAUAGCUGACCUUAUCAAUUCUUCUAGCUUUUGUUCUGAAAUUUUAUCUCCUUCAUUGCUACAUUCAGUAAGGAUCAGCUCACAGGAUCGCUGAAAACCUUGCAGCUUCAUAACAUGCAAAGAACCGAACAGGUACUGCUUGUAGGUUAUUGUUCCCAUCUUCUCUAUAUCAAUAAAAGAAAAUAUCUCUUCAGCAACUGCACAAGCCUUGAGUCUUAGAGCUCUUAUAAAUCCAUUAUAUGUAGCGCGGCCACUAGAGUCAGGAUUCAUCGAUAGAAACUUGUCGAGAAAAUCAACAGCUUCGAGGCUGCUGACUUGUUCCAUCUUGGACAUUCCAAUCAUAUAAUCAGAGGGUCUCUCUUGAUUUGCCUG
rnacentral:misc_RNA from 1 species